ACACAUGUACUGUAAUAUUUAGUUUUCCACCACAUUUCUUAAAAAUCGUGGUAGAGGCCUUGAUCUUGGCACCGCUCAUUUCUAGAAACUGAGGUUAGGAGUAAGCAAAGGCAUGCUCCCCGUAGAAAAUCCAGCUCCAAAAAAGCCUCAUGAUAUCUCAGGAGAAUGGGCACCAGCCAGCCCAAAGGUUGGGGUGGGCGGCACCUGCCUACCUCAGUUGCU